UACGAAGGGGGCUAGCGUUGCUCGGAAUCACUGGGCGUAAAGCGCACGUAGGCGGAUCUUUUAAGUCAGGGGUGAAAUCCUGGAGCUCAACUCCAGAACUGCCUCUGAUACUGGGGAUCUUGAGUCCGGAAGAGGUAAGUGGAACUGCGAGUGUAGAGGUGAAAUUCGUAGAUAUUCGCAAGAACACCAGUGGCGAAGGCGGCUUACUGGUCCGGGUACUGACGCUGAGGUGCGAAAGCGUGGGGAGCAAACAGG
rnacentral:rRNA from 1 species